rnacentral:sRNA from 1 species
AACAUAGAAACAAACAAAAGAAAA